CAAAGUGUAGUAUCUGUUCUUAUCAGCUUAAUAUCUGAUACGCUCCCCAAUGGGGAGCUUCGAUAUUAAACUGAUUUUUGACACUUGACGGAGUGUUAGGGGCUUGCUCCACCUCUGUCACGGGUUGGC
rnacentral:snRNA from 1 species